rnacentral:lncRNA from 1 species
CCGUAUAUUCAUCUGACGGGUUUCUUCCCGCUCCAGCUUAUGGAUCGUCUUGGUCAAGAUCUUAGCGUUAGCCUUCAGCUCCUUGAUCUUGUUCAUCCUUAGUUCACUCCUCUGAACCAAGUCGACGUUCAUAUUAACGAUUUCAGCAUGCUGUGCUUUAGUCGACUUCAGUUCUUCCUUGGAGGCCUUCACAUCUUCCUUGGCUUGGGCCAACUCUUUCUGAAGUCCUUCAUUGGUAUGAAGGAUGCCUUCAUGUUGGGUCCUUUCCCGAGUCAAGGCAGACUUCAGGAUGGAGUUCUCCUUCCUCAGCGCCUCCUCUUCGGAUUCAGCCUCGAGAGAUCUUG